CCAGGCAGGUGGGGAACCAUGAAGUCAAUCUCCAGCCAUUUUACCUUGAACAGUCUACACUGGCAAAUGCGUUCAUCUCUGCACAAAUUCUGCCACUGCGGCUUAGAAUCAGAGCUGGCAGCAACAACCCCCGGGCCCCACCCACCUGGUGUUAAACAUCAGCAGCGGAUCCUUUCAAAGCGCCCCUAGUUAGCGCCUAUCACCCUCGCCAGCAGACGUUUCAAAUGGGGAUGUCGAUACCACUGCACAAAGACUCGCGGGUCAUGAGGGAAUUGGCAAUCACAUCUGGAAGGGCCCUGAGUACUUAGUGUGUGAUGUACCAGCAGGAAGAGAAAUGAAGCCUGGAGUAAAAUCAUUGUUUGCCGUGGCAUAGCCCAGAGAACUCAGUCUCAUGAGAUGCCCCUGUGAUAAGAGCCUUGCAAUGGAUGAGCCGAGUUUUGCAAAUAUUACUCCCUACAUCCCUGCCUUUGCGAUCCACACUCUAUAAUUAAAGGC